GGGCAGCAUGGUCUUAGCUUGCUAAGGCUGAUGGCGACCGGCGCACGGGUGAGUAACACGUAUCCAACCUGCCGUCUACUCUUGGCCAGCCUUCUGAAAGGAAGAUUAAUCCAGGAUGGCAUCAUGAGUUCACAUGUCCGCAUGAUUAAAGGUAUUUUCCGGUAGACGAUGGGGAUGCGUUCCAUUAGAUAGUAGGCGGGGUAACGGCCCACCUAGUCAACGAUGGAUAGGGGUUCUGAGAGGAAGGUCCCCCACAUUGGAACUGAGACACGGUCCAAACUCCUACGGGAGGCAGCAGUGAGGAAUAUUGGUCAAUGGGCGAUGGCCUGAACCAGCCAAGUAGCGUGAAGGAUGACUGCCCUAUGGGUUGUAAACUUCUUUUAUAAAGGAAUAAAGUCGGGUAUGCAUACCCGUUUGCAUGUACUUUAUGAAUAAGGAUCGGCUAACUCCGUGCCAGCAGCCGCGGUAAUACGGAGGAUCCGAGCGUUAUCCGGAUUUAUUGGGUUUAAAGGGAGCGUAGAUGGAUGUUUAAGUCAGUUGUGAAAGUUUGCGGCUCAACCGUAAAAUUGCAGUUGAUACUGGAUGUCUUGAGUGCAGUUGAGGCAGGCGGAAUUCGUGGUGUAGCGGUGAAAUGCUUAGAUAUCACGAAGAACUCCGAUUGCGAAGGCAGCCUGCUAAGCUGCAACUGACAUUGAGGCUCGAAAGUGUGGGUAU
rnacentral:rRNA from 1 species